rnacentral:rRNA from 1 species
AUUGAACGCUGGCGGCAGGCCUAACACAUGCAAGUCGAACGAGUGGCGGACGGGUGAGUAAUGUCUGGGAAACUGCCUGAUGGAGGGGGAUAACUACUGGAAACGGUAGCUAAUACCGCAUACCAUCGGAUGUGCCCAGAUGGGAUUAGCUAGUAGGUGGGGUAAAGGCUCACCUAGGCGACGAUCCCUAGCUGGUCUGAGAGGAUGACCAGCCACACUGGAACUGAGACACGGUCCAGACUCCUACGGGAGGCAGUAGGGGGGAAUAUUGCAGUAUGGGCGACAGCGUGAUUCAGCCAUGCCGAGUGUAGGAAGACGGACUUCCGGUUUUACAUUUCUUUCCGUGGGGGGGCGUUACCUGCAGAUGAAGCACCGGCCAAAUCUGUGCCAGCAGCCGCGGUAAUUC